rnacentral:tRNA from 1 species
CUCACCCAGGCGGGGUCGAACCGCCGACCUCCCGAUUUCUCCCGAUGAGGGGAUAACAGUCGGACGCUCUAACCAAACUGAGCUAUGGGUGA